rnacentral:rRNA from 1 species
AGUGAACGCUGGCGGUAGGCCUAACACAUGCAAGUCGAACGGCAGCACAGGAGAGCUUGCUCUCUGGGUGGCGAGUGGCGGACGGGUGAGGAAUACAUCGGAAUCUACUCUGUCGUGGGGGAGAACGUAGGGAAACUUACGCUAAUACCGCAUACGACCUACGGGGGAAAGCAGGGGACCUUCGGGCCUUGCGCGAUUGCAGGAGACGAUGUCGGAUUAGCUAGUUGGCGGGGUAAAGGCCCACCAAGGCGACGAGCCGUAGCUGGUCUGAGAGGAUGAUCAGCCACACUGGAACUGAGACACGGUCCAGACUCCUACGGGAGGCAGCAGUGGGGAAUAUUGGACAAUGGGCGCAAGCCUGAUCCAGCCAUACCGCGUGGGUGAAGAAGGCCUUCGGGUUGUAAAGCCCUUUUGUUGGGAAAGAAAUCCAGCUGGCUAAUACCCGGUUGGGAUGACGGUACCCAAAGAAUAAGCACCGGCUAACUUCGUGCCAGCCGCCGCCGUAA